GAAUCAGGCACCGAGCGCCUUGUAUCCUGAUUAGCUGGCAAGUCUAUUCUUUCUCCCAUGGCACAGAAGACCCCAGAAGGGUUUUAAGUCAGGAGGUGACGUGACUGGAGGUGCAACACCAGCUGGCCACGGGAUGGAGGCAGGGUCCCUGGCCUUACACAGCGCUCACCCCAGGCCCUGCUGGCCCAGCACACAGCAGGUGAGGCUUGGGAAAACUCUUCCAGCCUUCUCUGAUCGGCCCACUUCCGCCCCUCUGGAGCCUGGGAGCCCUGCCCUCUGGAAUAACCCAGCUCCACGUCUCCUAGAGCCGGACCUUGGUAAACAAAAGCCUCGACUGGGGGAAUGUCUUUGGUGCCUGGCAACCUCUGUUUUCGGCCUGGCAACCCCAAAGCCUUUAACAGCCUCAGUCCCCACCCCCAGGCACAAAGGAGGAAACAUACCCACAGCAAGGAGACCAAAAUGCAAAUUACGACCUCAAUAUGUUUCUCUGCAGCCUAGUCAGAGCACUGCGGUGGCAACAACCCACUGAGGCACUGAAUUAAACAAAAAAGGGUUGAGGUUAUGAAAGGAGAGGUUCCAGCUAGAGUUCAAGAAAGUUUUCCAGACCUGCCUGCAGAGAAUUAAACGCAGACACUGUGAAGCCUCAGCAUGAAGUCUUAUUAGUAGCUGAGUGCCUGAAACUUGUAAGUGCCCGUCCCAUCCUUCAAGAACCAGCUCAGAUGCCUCCUCUCUGGGAAGCCUUUCCUGCGCCCCCAAGGCUGUUGGUCACUGGAGAGCCCUGAGAGCAGGCAUUAUACUGCAUCCCAUUUGUAUAUUUUGUAUCCCUUUCUAUCUCAUAAAUGGGGCAGGAAUUCAAUCAAGACCUGAGUCAAUUAUUUUAUUUAUACUGAGAACUUCUGUGGCAGUCUCUGUGCUAGGGGAAUACGGAGGACACAGGACACAAUGCACAGUCCAGUUCAGGGAGAACCAAUGAAUGGAGUUGGUACAAUGCUAGCGUUGGGGUUUGAGAGUGAUACUUACACCCCCUCCCCAAGUUCAGGCCAGCUGAGAGGUAUGCACACAGGCCCAUCAGGCAGGAGGAGGGAGAGCCAAGUCAGCUUUAUUGGUAGCUGCUGGUAUUUGGACCUAAGCUCAAAAAAAUUUGCCCUCUCAUGUCUAGAUCUUGAGAAGACCCACCCAAGGGACAGUCUGGAUCUGCAGGACAGACAUACCUACCCAGUCUUUGGGCCAACCCUGAGAAUGGGGUCAGCGAGGUAGUUCUCCAGAUUUGCCUCUAGAAAUCUGAGUGGAGCCCUGGCCAUGUGUUCACCACAUCAAGGACAGGAGCGGGAAGGUGUGAAAAGGGAGUGGAGCCCAGGUCUUAUUUGCCUGUUGAAGCUUCUCUCAAUCUCCUCGAUCCCAUAAAACAUUCCUUCUCCCCAGG
rnacentral:lncRNA from 1 species